CCGUAUUAAAGAAAGAGGGAAGUAAAGUCACACACUCUGUUGUCUGGUGGUGACAUUUCCUUCAUUGCCACAGUGGGAGGCAUCACAACACUUAAAGGAUUUUUUGCCACUCAGGUUCUCUCAACCAAAACAAAACAAGCUACAAGGAUUUCUAUGUUCUGUCUACACUUUCUCAUACCUGGGGAAAAGUCAAAGUGAGUUAUAUUCUUCAACCUUCCUCUACCUCCCUGUAAAACAUGGAAAAAAAUAAUUGAUUUGA